UUUUGUGAUCCUUUAAAACACCACAGUACUCUGAGAUCAGACCUUGACUCAUGGAAGCUAAGCAGGAUCAAGCCUGGUUAAUAUUGCGGUGGGAAACACCUGGGAAUACAGGAUGCAACAU
rnacentral:rRNA from 1 species